UGAAUGCACCAGUUAAUGGACCGAUCCAGUGAAUGGACAAUCAUCGCCUUUAUUCCUAUUUUUUUAUCCACAGACAGCUGUAAGCAGUGUUCUACCCGCUUGGUAGUACACUCUGUAUCCUCUAGAUGGCUCUGAACAAUUUCUAGACAGUUGGUAAGGAUGGAAUAGGAAUUAUGAAGGUUACACUGUAGUUUGUGAUUCCGUGGUGAGUGAACGCGGUGGAAAGUUUUGUGACAGCUAGUUGCACGUCAUUUCGGAAUAAGAAAUGCCAAACACAAAAAAAGGGCGAGUGUGAAUGGUGACGAGGGUUGUAAUGUACAAAAAAAAAA
rnacentral:lncRNA from 1 species